rnacentral:ncRNA from 1 species
AAACUAGAUAUUUUCUUAUUCACUGAUGGCAAGGGGGUUUCAUAGCCUCACUUUCUUUGCACUGCCGAGUGAAUGUAGAUUUCACAUUUAAAUAUUCUAAGCUUAAAUGGUAAAACAAAAUGGCUAGGUGGCGUAAGCUACCGCCCGAUCCAAAGGGCUCAGCCGUAUUCAUCCAUCCAUCCAUGACAAACUUCAGUCGAAGUCAGCUUCGCUUCGGCCGCGCUUCGUUCGCGCGCCUCUUUCUCGAUGUUUGCACCUUGGGACAGGUCUGCACGCGUCGGAGACUUCCGCGAGCUCCCGCACAACACCGGAUACCCCCUGCCGCUCUAGGGAAGGUCACAAGUCCACAGCGCAACAAUUCAGCACCUCUUCAAACGCGUGAGCAGCCGGCCGCUGAAGCCUUCUUCACCCCUCGACGUUCGCUGGUUUUCGUUGCUGCUAAAGAUAGCGCUAAGCGCUAGUGGACCGUUGGUGCCUACCCCGAACGUGUUUUUUAAGCCUCUGUGCAUCGAACGACGCACGGAAGUCAGUGGUUUAACUACCAUUUUUUUUUUUUUUUUUGUGCGGCAGUUUUCUGUGUUUUAGUUCGAAUUUUGCGCGCGAACUGGGAGUGUAUGCGACUGUGUUUAGUUGCGCCGGCCGUUAACAGAGGGCGGUACGUUCCACCCGUGGAUUUCACCGCCUCUUUUCAACUCGCAGCAGGGAAGAACUUUUCUUCCUUUGCCUUUUUUUACGUUUUUUUUCGACAUUUUUUUAUUAAUGUUUUGCAGUCACCCAUGAAUUUGGUUAAGAGCGCCCUCAGGCAUUCAUCGCAUAAUUAACGCUUAAUAAGAAUUUUUUUCAAGUUAAUUGUUCUGCCGCAUUGCGGCGCGAGUUUCUGCCCUCGUUUGGCAACCCUCUUCUUGUUUUUAAGUUUUAAGAAAUCAACCGCAAACGUUUCUUUUUAUCUUUUUUUAUUUGUUUAGUAGCUACGGCUACACGAUGCCUUGUGAACGGUGGUUCACAUUUCGGGGGAGUUAGGGGCAACCGUUUGGUUUGCACUCCACGAUUAGUGCUGUAGCUUCGAUAGACUCCAGCAAGUCGGUGAUUUCGAAAUCCUUGUAAAAAAAACGUUUCAUUAUGCGUCGUGUCCUGUCCAGAACAGGUCACAUCACCAAUGACCCCCACUGACCUGCACGCCUGCCUUACUAUUACAGUCCUUUUAGCCGUACGCGACUAGGAGAGGUUUCAUUUCCCCCCUUUUUUAUCCUCCCAUUCCCCCUUUCUCCCCCAGCACCUGCACUUGUUGGAGGACCUCUCCAACAAUUUUUUUUUGUAUUUUUUUGUUUUAUUUAAGUUCCGGCAGGAAUACGUAUUAACGGUUCUUGCCGGAUUCAAGGGUAGGGAAGGCCGAUCACGUUGCAGCUUGCUGCACUGCCCUUGUCGUCCGGCAAGCCUUCUUUCUCCCCAAAAAGAUGUACACCGGGGUCCUCUUUCUUUACUUCCGCCUUCGGCGGAGAUCUCUAGUACUAGCGAAAUGCCUCGUCAUCUAAUCAGUGACGCGCAUGACUGGAUUAACGAGAUUCCCACUGUCCCUAUCUAGUAUCUAACGAAACCACAGCUGAGGGAACGGGCUUGGAGAAAUCAGCGGGUAAAGAAGACCCUGUUGAGCUUGACUCUAGUCUGACUCUUUGAAGACACGCGAGAGCUGUAGCAUAAGUGGGAGGCCAUGAACCCUCGUGGUUGUGUCGUGCCGACAGUGAAAUACCACUACUUUCAUCGUUUCUUUAGUUAUACCCCUGUCAGACGGCAGCUAAAAUGGCAUUUACGCCAAAUGACAUUCAGUGUAAAUGUCAUUUAGGCACUGCUACACGGCAACUCAAAUGGCAUUUAACCUAAAUGCCAUUUCGGGUAAACAGAGUUCCCCAAACCCGUUUACGGCUCGCAAAGCGUACUCUCGACGGCAGCGCUCGACACAUAUUACGGGAUUGUUUUAAAAAAAAGCAGGCAUAUAUUGCGAAACAAUUUUUACAUCGUUUUAAUUACGAAAAUAAUUUCUUUAACGCGUGUUUCGCACGCACUUUACGUUCCUAAUUGUUUAACCUACUCACGACUCCAGUUAUCCAGUAGGCCUAAUGGCUCUGAACCGCUGAACCUGUCGCGUGCUCGCCUCGGUCGGCUCCCGGUUCGUUGGUUCCACUUGCGAUGUGCUCCUCAUUUACGCGUUCUUACGAUGUAGGAAGAACCGCCUGCCGACAAAAAAGGCGACCUGUCCCGCGAGACGUCGGUACUCAAAC